UCUCUUGAGAGCGGCGGACGGGUGAGUAAUGCCUAGGAAUCUGCCUAGUGGUGGGGGAUAACGUUCGGAAACGGACGCUAAUACCGCAUGCGUCCUACGGGAGAAAGCGGGGGACCUUCGGGCCUCGCGCCAUUAGAUGAGCCUAGGUCGGAUUAGCUAGUUGGUGAGGUAAUGGCUCACCAAGGCUACGAUCCGUAACUGGUCUGAGAGGAUGAUCAGUCACACUGGAACUGAGACACGGCCCAAACUCC
rnacentral:rRNA from 1 species